UAGCACAUUGUAAAAAUAUUAAACCACCACGAAUCUUAAUCCGUGGAAAUAUUUUUUUUAACCACAUUUAAUGUUCGUGAAAAAUAAAAAAAAUUCAAUGUGGUGAAAUUACACGCAUUAUUAAAAAAAAAUUUAGAAGGCGGGAUUGAAAAAUUUCCCAAAAUUUCAAAUUCUUUGAAAUUUCACUGUACUCCCGCAAUUCUCAAAAUUUAAGUGAAAUCGUUCAUUUCCUCUUACUUUACCUCUCUCACACAAACGUUUCUCUCAUUUUUUUUUUAAUCUUCUCUCCACUCAUCGCCUCUCUCCAUCCGUGACUCCUCACCUCACCACCACCACCAAUUUCUUCCCCCCAUGAUACGACCCACUCAAAAACCUCCCACUCUCCUCCUACAAUAGCAUCAGCAACCCAACAAAUCAACCCCAACACAACCUCCAUGCGCUCUUCUCCUCAGCCUCACUGCAACGGCGGCGACCAUCCCUUCAACUCCACCGUGUCGCUCCGGAAACUGAGGCACUUCAACUGGAACAAACAGAUUUGUAGUGGGAGCGAAUGCAAUAAUGGUGCUACACUCUUUGCCGAGGUCGUCCACCUAUGGGUCGAUUGGCCAUGACCAGGAAAUUGGAGUCUGCUACGCUUGUGUUGAAUAUGAAGACAUUGUUGGCGUUCACAAUGCACUCACGGUUUGAUUUUUUUGUGAUAAGUUGUUGAGAUUUUUGCUUUCGUUUCAAAAUGUUCAUUGGAUUCAGGCAAAUUUUGUGUUAUUUGUUGAAAGUCCUGUCAGUUCUCAUAUGUAGUUAUGCAUCUAUUGCGGCUUCUCAAGGCAUUUUGCAUUUGUCUUUGGGUAUUCAAUUGUUAGAGAGUUCCCAUACUUGCACUAUUGUCAACAUUCAUGAACUAUCUGCCUUUGUAUUUGCUUUAUUAUAUAUAUAUAUAUAUAUAUUUUUUUUUUUGGGCUUGUGCUUGUAAUUUGUACUUCUAAACUUAAAUAUGUGUGGGGUUCGGUGUUGUGGCGUUUUUAAGGUCA